GUGAAAGGCCAAUCAAACUUCGUGAUAGCUGGUUCUCUCCGAAAUAUAUUUAGGUAUAGCGUUGUGUCGUAAUAUAAGGGGGUAGAGCACUGAAUGGGCUAGGGCAUACACCAAUGUACCAAACCCUAUCAAACUCCGAAUACCUUAUAUGUAAUCACAGCAGUCAGGCGGCGAGUGAUAAAAUCCGUCGUCAAGAGGGAAACAACCCAGACUACCAGCUAAGGUCCCUAAAUCUUACUUAAGUGGAAAACGAUGUGAAGUUACUUAAACAACCAGGAGGUUGGCUUAGAAGCAGCCAUCCUUUAAAGAAAGCGUAAUAGCUCACUGGUCUAGUGAUUUUGCGCGGAAAAUAUAACGGGGCUAAAGUAAGUACCGAAGCUGUAGACUUGCACACAACUUAGAUUAUUUAAGUUUAGAAUAAGUAGUUUAAGUUGUGUGCAAGUGGUAGGAGAGCGUUCUAUUUGCGUCGAAGGUAUACCGGUAAGGAGUGCUGGAGCGAAUAGAAGUGAGCAUGCAGGCAUGAGUAGCGAUAAUUAAUGUGAGAAUCAUUAACGCCGUAAACCCAAGGUUUCCUACGCGAUGCUCGUCAUCGUAGGGUUAGUCGGGUCCUAAGUCGAGUCCGAAAGGGGUAGACGAUGGCAAAUUGGUUAAUAUUCCAAUACCAACAUUAGUGUGCGAUGGAAGGACGCUUAGGGCUAAGGGGGCUAGCGGAUGGAAGUGCUAGUCUAAGGUCGUAGGAGGUUAUACAGGCAAAUCCGUAUAACAAUACUCCGAGAACUGAAAGGCUUUUUGAAGUCUUCGGAUGGAUAGAAGAACCCCUGAUGCCGUCGAGCCAAGAAAAGUUUCUAAGUUUAGCUAAUGUUGCCCGUACCGUAAACCGACACAGGUGGGUGGGAUGAGUAUUCUAAGGCGCGUGGAAGAACUCUCUUUAAGGAACUCUGCAAAAUAGCACCGUAUCUUCGGUAUAAGGUGUGGUUAGCUUCGUACUAGGAUUUACUCCGAAAGCGAAGAAACUUACAACAAAGAGUCCCUCCCGACUGUUUACCAAAAACACAGCACUCUGCUAACUCGUAAGAGGAUGUAUAGGGUGUGACGCCUGCCCGGUGCUCGAAGGUUAAUUGAUGGGGUUAGCAUUAGCGAAGCUCUUGAUCGAAGCCCGAGUAAACGGCGGCCGUAACUAUAACGGUCCUAAGGUAGCGAAAUUCCUUGUCGGUUAAAUACCGACCUGCAUGAAUGGCGUAACGAGAUGGGAGCUGUCUCAAAGAGGGAUCCAGUGAAAUUGUAGUGGAGGUGAAAAUUCCUCCUACCCGCGGCAAGACGGAAAGACCCCGUGGACCUUUACUACAGCUUGACACUGCUACUUGGAUAAGAAUGUGCAGGAUAGGUGGGAGGCUUUGAGUAUAUGACGCCAGUUGUAUAUGAGCCAUUGUUGAGAUACCACUCUUUCUUAUUUGGGUAGCUAACCAGCUUGAGUUAUCCUCAAGUGGGACAAUGUCUGGUGGGUAGUUUGACUGGGGCGGUCGCCUCCCAAAUAAUAACGGAGGCUUACAAAGGUUGGCUCAGAACGGUUGGAAAUCGUUCGUAGAGUAUAAAGGUAUAAGCCAGCUUAACUGCAAGACAUACAAGUCAAGCAGAGACGAAAGUCGGUCUUAGUGAUCCGGUGGUUCUGUGUGGAAGGGCCAUCGCUCAAAGGAUAAAAGGUACCCCGGGGAUAACAGGCUGAUCUCCCCCAAGAGCUCACAUCGACGGGGAGGUUUGGCACCUCGAUGUCGGCUCAUCGCAUCCUGGGGCUGGAGCAGGUCCCAAGGGUAUGGCUGUUCGCCAUUUAAAGCGGUACGCGAGCUGGGUUCAGAACGUCGUGAGACAGUUCGGUCCCUAUCUGCCGUGGGCGUAAGAAGAUUGAAGAGAUUUGACCCUAGUACGAGAGGACCGGGUUGAACAAACCACUGGUGUAGCUGUUGUUCUGCCAAGAGCAUCGCAGCGUAGCUAAGUUUGGAAAGGAUAAACGCUGAAAGCAUCUAAGCGUGAAGCCAACUCUAAGAUGAAUCUUCUCUAAGCUCUCUAGAAGACUACUAGUUUGAUAGGCUGGGUGUGUAAUGGAUGAAAGUCCUUUAGCUGACCAGUACUAAUAGAGCGUUUGGCUUAUCUUUAAUAAAGCAU
rnacentral:rRNA from 1 species